AGCUCCAAUAGCGUAUAUUAAAGUUGUUGCAGUUAAAAAGCUCGUAGUUGAAUUUCUGUCCAUUGACGGCCAGUGGAUCUGAUUCACUUGGUAGUCGUGGACAUCCUUCUCAGCUGCCUAGUUAACGCUAGGUUGGCUGAGAGCCGUUACUUUGAGAAAAUUAGAGUGUUCCAAGCAAGCGACUGCUUUGAAUACUACAGCAUGGAAUAAUACUAUAGGACUUCGGACCUAUUUGUUGGUUUCUAGGUUGGAAGUAAUGAUUAAUAGGGACAGUUGGGGGCAUUCGUAUUUGACAGUCAGAGGUGAAAUUCUUGGAUUUGUCAAAGACGAACUACUGCGAAAGCAUUUGCCAAGGAUGUUCUCA
rnacentral:rRNA from 1 species